rnacentral:rRNA from 1 species
GACGAACGCUGGCGGCGUGCCUAAUACAUGCAAGUCGAGCGGUGAGGGUCGGUACUUGUACCGAGUUGAUGAGGAGCGCACGGGUGAGUAACGCGUGGAGAAUCUGCCUGUGAGCGGGGGACAACAUGGGGAAACGAAUGCUAAUACCGCAUGAAAACUUUAAACACAAGGGGGAAGGGUGAAAGAUGCAGUUGCGUCACUGAAUGGUGAUCCCGCGGUGUAUUAGCGAGGUGGUGAGGUACAGGCUCAUCAAGGCGAUGAUGCAUAGCCGAAGGGAGAGGGUGGUUGGCCGCCUUGGGACUGAGACACGGCCCAUACGCCUACAGGAGGCAGCCGGAGGGAAACGUCGGGAAGGGGUGAAAGACUGAGCGAGAAACGCCGCGGGAGUGAAGAAGGGUGUCGGGUCGUAAAACUCGGUUGGUAGGGAAGAAAGCUGGUGAGAGUGGAAAGAUCAUCAAGUGACGGUAACUACUCAGAAAGGGACGGCUAACUACGUG